rnacentral:rRNA from 1 species
AUUGAACGCUGGCGGCAGGCUUAACACAUGCAAGUCGAACGAGUGGCGGACGGGUGAGUAAUGUCUGGGAAACUGCCUGAUGGAGGGGGAUAACUACUGGAAACGGUAGCUAAUACCGCAUACCAUCAGAUGUGCCCAGAUGGGAUUAGCGAGUAGUUGGUGUAACGGCUCACCUAGGCGACGAUACCUAGCUGGUCUGAGAGGAUGACCAGCCACCCUGGAACUGAGACACGGUCCAGACUCCUACGGGAGGCAGCAGUGGGGAAUAUUGCACAAUGGGCGCAAGCCUGAUGCAGCCAUGCCGCGUGUGUGAAGAAGGCCUUCGGGUUGUAAAGCACUUUCAGCGGGGAGGCGUUACCCGCAGAAGAAGCACCGGCUAACUCCGUGCCAGCAGCCGCGGUAAUUC